CUCUUGUUCAAAUAUACUAACUCGACAGCACAUAAAUCUAUACCUGUUAACAAAAUCAUGAUUUUAUUGAUAAUUCGGCUCAAUAAAAACACCUUUACCUUUUCAUUUUACUACAGUAGAAGUUUAUUGGCCCAGCUUAUAGACUACAGAGGUGGAGAAACGCCCCCGCUUAAGUUUAUGUUUUCUUAGGAGUUAGAACAACUCUGAAUAUAGUACUAUGUCUGUGACCCUAUAUGUCCUGUUGAUGAAGUUAGGUGCUGUUCUGAGCAUUAUUUGUGGUUAUAGAGUGGUGUUUUGGUUGAGUGCGUGGCUCUCUGUAUUACUAUCCUGCGGUCGUUACUAAAGUUGGUAUAACUAGAGAAGUAAGCGGUCGGCAACAUUCAUCUCUGGAGGGGGGGUCUAACUCAGUGUGUUUGACCCUAAAUUAAUAUUACGCCGGAAUAUCCCUUUAAGUCAUUCACGUUAAUAUUAAUUGAAAAGGGGAAGGCAAAAGUUACUAGCAGCAGCUUUAAUUGUCAAUAACUAUUCACAGACACAGCUAUACUAGACCUCUCUUUUUCUCCAACUCGGACCAUGUUGCUAUAAAAACUUAUCACACAUUCACACUUAACUUCAAACCUAAAUGAAAUAUGGUUUCAUCUCAAUUUUAAAAGGGCACUUUUUUGAUUAAAAGAGUAAAAUUCAAUUUUAAAGGUGAUCUCUAAAUCAAAACCACCAAAUAUUUGUGCGAUCAAUGAUCCAAUUGGUGAAUAAAAUGUCUCAGCAAUAGAGUCGACUAACAAGAGAGUCACUGGCUGCAGACCUGCUUAAAAUCACAACAGUAUAACAGAAAGAUGAACAUCUACAGAUCAAAUAUCAGGAGAAACAGAAGUCUUCACCCUCAGACAUUAAACUAGCAGGGAUUAUCUCUACAAUCCUCCAUCAUGGCCAUAAAUCCUGAUGUUAGUGGACUUUCUAAUCCUUAAGAACUUUUUGGUGCUCACCAACACACAGGAAGAAAACCAGGUUCUUAUUUUCAAAGCCGCAUUCUACCAAAUGUCCAGGAGAGGGCGACUGUGCAGUCUGCAAAAAGCCAAAACAUGCCAUGCCAGUAUGUAACAGCCUCUCAGAGGCACUGCUGAGUUAAUAUUGAUGCAUGUUUGUACUUGAAUUAAAGCACUUAUAGUUACCUCACACUGUUGACAAAUUAAUAUCUGGCUCUGCAAGUUUAAUGAGAAAAUAUAAACAGACAAAAACCAAGAAAACUAAUUAUCACAGCUGUUUUGACCACAUGUUGUGAAGCUGCAUUCUUCAAAUGCAUUUCUGCCAGAGCCAGAUGUCUGUGAUCGUGCACAUGUGGUCUGUGUGAAUAUCAGAGUCCCAUUAGCAUGGAUAUUUCCUGCCGAGUAAAUGUGAGGAGGAAAAAAUCUGGAUCAGGUCGUUCAGAGUUUGAUGAGACAUUCAUGUUUGAGAACAGCUGGGAACAAAACACUGAAACGGUUUGAUUUCUGACGAUGGUUCGAGGUCAAUUUAACUCGAGAUGAAAACUGAUAACUUCUGAAUGUCACUCAAAAACCUCCUGAGAUAUUUUACUAAAGUAUGGGGACAAACUUUAUCAUGUUAAUAAUCUGAGGGUUUGUCAGGACAGUCUUUAGAGACUGUUUAGAUUUAUGUUUCAGAGGUCUGUCCCUCCCACUGGAUAGUCUCAGCAGGGCAGGUAAAGCGCAGGUAGAGUGGGGGACGGUCGGCAGAGGCAUUAAAGAGGCUCAGGUGUGACAGGUGUGUUUGGUGGCAUCACUGCAGGAGACCUCAGAGACAUCAGUGGUGAGAAGAUCCUAAUUUAAAUCAAAUUAACAGUUAAAAGAACUCUCAGUGACUGAGAGGUUGAGAAAUUUGAGUUUAUUGAUAAUCUAAGCCCUGUGCAUUUAAAAUAUGUUGAAACUAAUAUAGUUGUUUUCUAGUCGUUCUUAGUUGUUUAAAUUUAUGCAAGCCGUCACAGAGCGAUAGAUUUGAUUUAAAUCGACCCUAAAACUAAAUAUUAAGUUUCAGUUAAAAUGAAUUACAUAUUAAGUAUUUAGCAUAAUUUAAAAUAAUUAAAAAAUGUUAAAAAGGCAAAUUUAUUUUGAAAUGAAUUAGAAUGAUUUAAAAUAAUUAAAAAAAAAAGAUAGUUUACACAUUAAUUUAAUUUGUUUAAUUCUUAUAUUUAAUAACCCUUUUUUGAAAUUAGUACUGGAGUUAAUUUAUUUGUGCCUAUUUAAUGACGGCCUCACUUCAUUUAUUUCCUUUGAGUUUAUCAACCUGCUUCUGCACCGAUUAUCAUCUACAAUAAAAGAAAAUCAAAGCGAGCCGAGUCGUCCACAGUGUCCUCUGUGGAUCAGGCAAUGAUGCUGGAAAAAGGGGAAAUUUACCUCGACAGGGUUUAUUAUUGUUAAAAUGACCCAACACUCAAGUUUUUCACAUAAUCACAAAUGAUCUCAGAAUGGUCAAACUGAUCAAUAUAUCUGCUUUUUUAAUAAUGUGCAACUUCCAACCUGGAAAUUGGAUGAUUUAGUACCCACUUUUGUCCACUGGGUGGCAGUGUUGUACAGACAAAGACAACACCACAGAUUAAAGAAAAAGUGAUAACUUUGUAAUGACUAUAAUAUGAACAAAAACUGCUCUAUUCUGGGUCAGUUUGAGACUUAAAUAUCUAAAUUUAUCAUUUUUCAGGUCUGUCUAAUCCGUCAUGUUUCCUGUGAAGCACGAGCUCAUUAAAGAGUAUUCUGCAUGUUAAGGUGACUGAUUUCAUGAUGUCUGUCUGUAUUUAAGAGGACAUAUUUGAUAAAUGUGUAAUAUUACCCGGACGUUAUGACUAUGACAUCAGUGACUGUAUUUAAAGUCACCUUUAAUUGAAAAAUCCUGAUUGAUGCGUUUCAUGUGGAGUCAUUUCUGAGCGGAGACGCUUCCAAUCAUUUAAAUUUUAAGGUGACGCUCUUUGUCUGAUCUCUUCACCAUCAACAUCUCACCCACUUCAUUUCCGUCUCCCAGGAUGCACCGGGCCCCAGCCUGCAGCUCUUUUACGGUUGUGUAUUUCACCGGCUCUUUUACUACCACAGACACACAAUUAAAGUCUGCUGAACACACGCUUGCUGCCCGUCAGCGGGCUGCGGAUCCAUAAAACGCGUCUUUCUGUGAAAAACGAGUGGCCCAGUCAUCAUGGAAAGGAAGAGGAGAGGCAGAUAGAGAACCCAGAGUGAUCAGGGUUUUAUUCUGGGAUCUAUAAAGUCAGAGACCCCACAGCACCCCACCCCAAACUGGUCUCAUUUGACCUUGAGACUGAGGCGAAGGGGAGCCUGGCUUCUAAAAUAUCACACCUGAAGGCCGGAGCAGGUAUCAACCACAGACUGUACGAGUAAAGAUGGUCUCCUCUGUGACCGACUGAGAAAGAGAGAGUGAGGGGUCAGUAACCAAAGCUACUCUGACUUUAUCCUGUUUCCAAAAACACAAGAUUGAAAUUAUGGUCUCACUUGAUCAAAACCUCCAACAAUGAAAGACAGAAACAGCAACAAUCCUCCCACGAUCUGACAGUUCACCUGUUCCCCUCAACAUGACAACAAGAGGCUGUCACAGAGAAAACACACCUCAGCUCCAGCGUAGAGAUGCAGCUCUCACAGCAGCUCUAUACAGUGUUUGCACAGAAUCAUAAAUGUUGGUUUCUUCUUUGGCUUAAUGUGAACAUGGUUUCUGCCUCAGGAGGGCACUCCAGGAGUUUUUGACAUCUCCACAUCAGCAUCUCUUUUCUAGUUUACGCUCCAUUCUUACAAGAAUUAAAGAUACUGUCAUGAUCUAUCCUAAACUCUGGUGUCCGUCUCUUUUUCUAACCCCCUGACUCCAGAUGCCCCUCUAGAUGUCAGUGUGUUAAUGUAGUUAAAAAGCCUACACAGCCAAGCUACUGAACACAAAGUUUAUUUAUUAACAAAGUUAAACUACGCAGUAUUUCAUUUAAUAUUAUUUCAUUUACUCUAUUUCCAAUGAUCAAUGUUUAAAACAUUCAAUACUAAGUCCGGCUCGAGGUAAGUUUUGUUGCCCUUAAACUUCAGCAGUAGCUUUACCAAAGGUAUGCAGAAAAAAAGGCAUAAAAAGAUAAAACAAGCAAACAAAAAAAAGGAAAAAAAAAAAAAAAGAAAAAACAAGCAAAAAAAGCAAAAAAAAAACCUUUAGCAGUAGCUUUCCCAAAGGUAUGCAGGUUUUUUUCUCUUUUCAUAAUGGUAUUUUUAUUUAAAUUAAUAAGUGCAAACAAGGUAAAUUGUUUUUGCGUAAUUUUAACAUGAACAAUAGUACUGAAAAAGAUAAACGGUAUAAAAAAACAAGUAAAAAAAGCAAAAAAUAAAUAAAUAAAUAUAUAAAAGCAAUAAAACCCUACCAGAGGCAUGAAACCCCAGACAACACAGCUCCUGGGAUCACUGGGACACACAAACCCCUCACAUACACAAUCACUGUACACAACUACAGAUCACAUGUUACAGAUGCACAAACUUUUUACACCAAAAAUACCUUCAUAAUGAAGCAAAUAGUUGAUAUGAGACUUUGACACAGGAAUACUGCAAAAGUACACAGUAGAAGUACUUGAUAGUAACAGGACAUGUUGUCUGAAGUAUUCUGUCUAAUAGUCCAGGUGACUCGAACCACUAAUAUCAGGAAAGUUGUUUUUAUUUUCUUAUUGCUCCCCCCUCAAUUUACAGCUCCAUAUCAAUGCCUUUACCAUAAGCAUUCUAAUACAGGUGCACCCCAAACUGAGAGCCCGCUAGCUUGACUGCAGUGUGAGAGCCUGGUGGUUGGGGCCUGCACCCAUGGGGCCCGGCCGGGCACAGUCCUAAGAGGCAAGAUAGAACCAGCUUCCCAUGGGCUCACCACCCAUAAGAGGGGCCACCAAACCAAACCUUGCUCAGGGCCACCAAAAUCCACCAGCCGGCCCUGAAAGCACCGGGAUUUCUCUGACAACAUUACUGAUAUGAUGUAAAUUCAUUAUCAUGUCAUGAUAAAGUUCUUCUCAUCUUAAUAUAUCGAUGGUUCUGCUGGUGGGUUACUGACUGCGGACAUCUCGCGCCAAAAAAGCGCUCACACUGAGAACGCGCUCACUCAGAGGCCUACACACUCAGACCCCACAAACAUUCACAUAAAUCAACCAAAAAUCAUCCCCAUCAUCCUCCUUUCCUUCAAACUUCCCUCAGCCAGCCCUGCAGAGUUCACAUUUCUGAUUUCAUUCACUCAGACAUUCACACAAACCGCUUCAAACCGCUCUUACCUGGAGUUUGUUCAGGUGAGCUGCGUCCCCGCCGCUCCGCUCCGCUUCGAGCGCAAACAUUUGGACUGACGAAACCGGAACAGAGGAUUUCCGCCAUUUAAAUAGGUCACGUGAACAGCGGCGUUCAUAAUUUAGGUUUUUUUGUCACUUAAAGCCAAAAAACAGAAUUUGUUAUUUAGAAAAAAGCGAUAAUCGAUGUUUGUGUGGAUUUGGGGUGAAGAAACUUUGAUUGGCUCAAUAUGGAAGAGAUUUUGUAUUUUGGGGUUUCUUACAUAAUCAUAAGGCCCAGUGGGAGGAGCUACAGGUAUAAUAAGGUGUCUACAGUUCUUCUGUAAAGUCAUUCUGCAGCUGGACUCGGACAAGGUAAGACUGGAGAUGUUGUGUUCGCACUUUCACUCAGUUUAUCGGUGAUCGGUUUAUAUUUCUCUGCCGAUCGGAUCAUUCUCAUCAGUUCAAAUGUGCACUAAAAUGAAGAAAAACAAACAAACUUAACAAACUAAUGAAAAAGGACAAAGUUUGGUCUGAUCUGUUCUGAGAAAAUUCGCCCAAAUCUUGAGUUUGUUCCUGAAACAGCCCGAUAAACCGCCCCGAUCAGUCUGCUCCGGUUUCUGCGUGUUUCAUAUCAAACAUUCAGUCGGUGGUGAAGCAGCAGGAGAUGUUUUGGCACAUUUCCCUCAAAGUUAAACACACACACUCCUCUAAUUAUAAAACACAAUCUGCAAAGGUGAGCUGUUUACCAAAUUACGCACGAGGUUUUCCAUGAACGGAUUUGUGCAACAGAUGAGACGAUAAUCCGGAGAUAAUUCAACAAAAACAAACAACCUCAGAUGACCUGUUCGCGUUAGUCUGUCACUAUCACUGCUCCUGGUUUCUGUGCGGUUUCUGCACCUUCUCUGGAAACUUUUGCGCCUCUUUUUUUAAGUGCAGUUCACUCACGGAGCCGCUGAAUGGCGAGAGAGAGCUGAAUAUGCGAGAGUUAAAGUGGCUCCGUUUUCUCCCUUCAGUCCUCUCAGCUUAAAUCAUAUUUUAACGCGUUAAUACCUCUUCGUUUUACUGCGCAGUUUCUGUCCGAAUGACCCAGAAUUUAAUCCAGAAUAAUUCUGAUCCACAGAGAGACACACAGUGGAUUAUUUUGAACACCUGAGAGGUGCUCCUCUCACACCUGUAAACCCACGUCACAUGCAGAUGUCUGCUGUUGUUGCUCUUCUACUGUGACUUACACUUGUGUUUGAUUUGUGUGUUGGUUUUUGGUCAGUUUUGAUUUAUUUUUCAUGUGUUUGUAAAGUGGAAGAAUUCAGACUAUCAGUCCAACAAUUGAACAAUACGAGGUAAAAACACAAGUGAACAGAAGUCAAAGCAUUAUCAUGAAUUAGUAAUUGAACCAGGUAAAUAAAGUGUCUGCAAGCUCAAGAAACAUAUUUUUUUUAAUCUGAGGAAAUAUUUCUGAUCAUGAUUUAGUUUCUAAAAUCCUCUGACUGCUUUCAUUGUUGUUAUGCCAUAAAUGUACUUUUUCCUUACUCUUGAUUUGAACAAAAAUAUGACUGAAGUUUUUCUUCACGUGUAACCAUUAACCUCUUUAAACUGCAGCCAAGAUUCAAGCCGAUGAAGAAAUGGACACCAAAUCCACCUUUUACCUGAGGUAGUAUGUAAGAAUAUGUCCAGAUCUUGGUCUGAUCAUGUCCCUCUUUUCAUAGGAAUCCAGACCCUGGUGUCCUGAGGAGCCAAAGAUGGAGCCAACGACCACAAACAAGUCGGACCACGGCGUGCAGAGGUUGGUGACGGUGUGGGACUGUUGGCAGGAGGACAGAGGUGAGUCAUACUCAGCCAUCAAAAUGUCUCAAGACAUUUUUAUACAUCAAGGCAUCUUAAGACAACUUAAGACAAAAGUUUGAAGACAUCACCAUAUCUUAAGACAUCCCAGAGCAGAAAGUAGGAUUCACCCUGACAUAUUUUUGUGUCUGAAGACAUCUUAAGACACACUUGCUUUGUCUUUAGACAUCCACAUCUUCAGACGGUUUCAGACCUAGUCUGCAUGUCUCAAAGACAUGGUCAAGUUAUCUUGUUUCAGCUGGAGUAUUAUGAUGAUAAUGUUCUGGUAAUGGUCGAUUUAUAUUUUGCUUUAAAAUCUGUUUUAACUUUAAUCGCGUGUUAAAUGAUUAUAAUGAAAAUAACUUGCGGUAAUUUCAAUCUGUUGAAAGCCCUGCGUAACGGAGUUAAAAACAAAAAUACCUGAUCUUAAAAAUGCUAAAAGCUAAAAAUGCUAAAAAUGAUUUUAUUUCUGAAUGAAUUUCUUCAUGGAAAUACAAUCAGACCGAGACGCUAAGACAGAAGAACUACUGCGUCUGUAAAAUGAUUAAUAUGGUGAUUAUUACUUCAGUGAUCAAGAAAUGAUCAUAAAUGUUCUUCCUUGAGCUGCGGCACCCCGCUGUAGUCCGUAAUGGACUGGCCUGAGGUCUCGCUACAAACAAGCGGCUGCUGGAAGAGAGUAGGUGAGUUGUGUUUAGUCUCUUUGCUAAAGAAAUUAGUCAAAGUUAAAAAGAUGUUUGGUGUCUAGUACUAUGUCUGUGACCCUAUAUGUCCUGUUGAUGAAGUUAGGUGCUGUUCUGAGCAUUAUUUGUGGCUAUAGAGUGGCGUUUUGGUUGAGCGUG
rnacentral:lncRNA from 1 species